UACGGGGGGGGCAAGCGUUGUUCGGAAUUACUGGGCGUAAAGGGCUCGUAGGUGGCCAACUAAGUCAGACGUGAAAUCCCCAGGCUCAACUUGGGAACUGCGUCUGAUACUGGAUGGCUUGAAUUCGGGAGAGGGAUGCAGAAUUCCAGGUGUAGCGGUGAAAUGCGUAGAUAUCUGGAGGAAUACCGGUGGCGAAGGCGGCCUGCUGGGCAGUUUAGCUGACACUGAGGCGCGACAGCGUGGGGAGCAAACAGG
rnacentral:rRNA from 1 species